rnacentral:ncRNA from 1 species
GGUGUCGGCGGCCGAAAGGCCAACGAUGAAAAGGGAACUAUGUGAGAUUCAUAGACAGACGGCGCUGCUGUGUGCUUCCAAGUCAAUCAGCCCCGGAGUUUGUCCACUGCAAAUCAACUUCUGCGGGAAGGCCAAACUUAAUAUCACGGGCGGAAGCGAGUCAGAAGACCUGCCAAAUCGAUA